GGUCAAGUGAUUAAGGGCUGACGGUGGAUACCU
rnacentral:rRNA from 1 species